UGGGGAAUAUUGCACAAUGGGCGAAAGCCUGAUGCAGCGACGCCGCGUGAGGGAUGACGGCCUUCGGGUUGUAAACCUCUUUCAGCAGGGAAGAAGCGAAAGUGACGGUACCUGCAGAAGAAGCGCCGGCUAACUACGUGCCAGCAGCCGCGGUAAUACGUAGGGCGCAGCGUUGUCCGGAAUUAUUGGGCGUAAAGAGCUCGUAGGCGGUUAGUCGCGUCUGCUGUGAAAACUCGAGGCUCAACCUCGGGCUUGCAGUGGGUACGGGCUGACUAGAGUGCGGUAGGGGUGACUGGAAUUCCUGGUGUAGCGGUGGAAUGCGCAGAUAUCAGGAGGAACACCGAUGGCGAAGGCAGGUCACUGGGCCGCAACUGACGCUGAGGAGCGAAAGCAUGGGGAGCGAACAGGAUUAGAUACCCUGGUAGUCCAUGCCGUAAACGUUGGGCACUAGGUGUGGGGUCCAUUCCACGGAUUCCGUGCCGCAGCAAACGCAUUAAGUGCCCCGCCUGGGGAGUACGGCCGCAAGGCUAAAACUCAAAUGAAUUGACGGGGUCAUAGCUGUUUCCU
rnacentral:rRNA from 1 species